UGUCCAGGUGCGGGAAUCGAACCCACAACGUUCCGCUUACCGGGCAGAUGCCAUGUCCACUAGGCUACCCUGGGU
rnacentral:tRNA from 1 species